GACGGAGGGGGCUAGCGUUGUUCGGAAUCACUGGGCUUAAAGCGUGUGUAGGCGGAUCGUUAAGUGUCUUGUGAAAUCCCACGGCUCACCCGUGGAACUGCUGGGCAUACUGGCGAUCUUGGGCCAACUAGGGGCAACUGGAACAAGCGGUGGAGCGGUGAAAUGCGUAGAUAUCGCUUGGAACGCCGAAGGUGAAAACAGGCUGCUGGGGUUGUGCCGACGCUGAGACACGAAAGCCAGGGGAGCAAACGGG
rnacentral:rRNA from 1 species